AGUGAACGCUGGCGGUAGGCCUAACACAUGUAAGUCGAACGGCAGCACAGUAAGAGCUUGCUCUUACGGGUGGCGAGUGGCGGACGGGUGAGGAAUACAUCGGAAUCUACUUUUUCGUGGGGGAUAACGUAGGGAAACUUACGCUAAUACCGCAUACGACCUACGGGUGAAAGCAGGGGAUCUUCGGACCUUGCGCGAUUGAAUGAGCCGAUGUCGGAUUAGCUAGUUGGCGGGGUAAGGGCCCACCAAGGCGACGAUCCGUAGCUGGUCUGAGAGGAUGAUCAGCCACACUGGAACUGAGACACGGUCCAGACUCCUACGGGAGGCAGCAGUGGGGAAUAUUGGACAAAGGGCGCAAGCCUGAUCCAGCCAUACCGCGUGGGUGAAGAAGGCCUUCGGGUUGUAAAGCCCUUUUGUUGGGAAAGAAAAGCAGCAGGUUAAUACCCCGCUGUUCUGACGGUACCCAAAGAAUAAGCACCGGCUAACUUCGUG
rnacentral:rRNA from 1 species